rnacentral:lncRNA from 1 species
AUGUUUCCCCCUGAGUUGUUCUUUACAGCUACAGAAGAAUAUAUAGAAGGUAUACACAUGCAUAACUGGGUGCUGAGAUUUGACCUCUUUCCUCGGGAGCUGCUCCAAGUGAGAAAAGAGUCGGUGACCACUGGUGCCCUAAGAAUCCCAGGUUCCUUCAUGGUGAAGGGAAAGCAUGGUGUAUUUGAAGGACUUACAGAAUUCAAUACGGCUGGAUUAUAAAGAAGGUGAAGAAGAUUGCUCUGAGAUUAGGUUGAAGAGGUAGACCAGACAAUGGAGAAGAAAUCUGUAAGUUUAAAAGUUUAACUAAAAGACCAUGGGAAGCUUUUUAAAGCAACUUGACAUUAGCAGAAAUUUAUUUUUUUUUUUUAGUAUCACCCUGGCUGUGGCAUAGAAAUAGACUGAACAGAAGCAAAAUUUAAUGCAGGUGCCUCUCAGUAAGAAUAUGUUUCAGUAGUCCAGGUGAGAAAUGAUGCUGGUGAUAGCAAGGGGCCUGGAGAAAAGUAAGCAUUUCUUACAUUAUGUAAGACACAGAAUUGGCAGGACUGGAGGAUUAGUAGGACGUUAGACAUGUAGGAUGUCAAGAAAUCACUGUUGGGACUUCCCUGGUGAUCCAGAGGUUGACUCUAAGCUUCCAGUGCAGGGGGCACAGGUCCAAUCCCUGGUGAGAGAACUUCGAUUCAACAUGCCUUACGGUGCACUGGCCAAAAUGAAGUGAAUAAUCCUGACAAACACCAACUCAGUCAGGUGAUCAAAGCCAACAUCAACAGUGGUGGCAAGUCGUAUUGACAGUAUAUACCCUUGACACAAGGACACUUUAUUUCUGUGGUCAUCCUCCUGAAAACCCAUCAGUUCAGUUCAGUUCAGUUCAGUAGCUCAGUUGUGUCCGACUCUUUGCGACCCCGUGAAUCGCAGCACGCCAGGCCUCCCUGUCCAUCACCAACUCCUGGAAUUCACUCAGACUCACGUCCAUCGAGUCAGUGAUGCCAUCCAGCUAUCUCAUCCUCUGUCGUCCCCUUCUCCUCCUGGCCCCAAUCCCUCCCAGCAUCAGUCUUUUCCAAUGAGUCAACUCUUCGCAUGAGGUAGCCAAAGUACUGGAGUUUCAGCUUUAGCAUCAUUCCUUCCAAAGAAAUCCCAGGACAGAUCUCCUUCAGCAUGGACUGGUUGGAUCUCCUUGCAAUCCAAGGAACUCUCAAGAGUCUUCUCCAACACCACAGUUCAAAAGCAUCAAUUCUUUGGCGCUCAGCUUUCUUCACAGUCUAACUCUCACAUCCAUACAUGACCACUGGAAAAACCAUAGCCUUGACUAGACGGAUAACCCCAGCCUAAUCGCUAAGAAGAGCAUCAGAGAAAUCCUAAAUCCCAGUUGAAGGAUUAAGUGUGUAUGACCAGAUAUGUUUAGCCUAUGUCUGGCAAUACUCCUCAAAAACAAGGAAAGUCUCAGAAACAUAGCCAAGAGGAGCCUGAGAAGAGAUGACGACUAAAUUGUAUGUGGGAUCACUGACCUAGAGCCAGACAUUCUGGAAUGUGAAGUCAAGUGAGCCUUAGAAAGCAUCACUACGAACAAAGCUAGUGGAGGUGAUGGAAUUCCAGUUGAGGUAUUCCAAAUCCUGAAAAAUGAUGCUGUGAAAGUGCUCCACUCAAUAUGCCAGCAAAUUUGGAAAACUCAGCAGUGGCCACAGGACUGGAAAAGGUCAGUUUUCAUUCCAAUCCCAGAGAAAGGCAAUGCCAAAGAAUGCUCAAACUACCGCACAAUUGUGCUCAUCUCACACGCUAUUAAGUAAUGCUCAAAAUUCUCCAAGCCAGGCUUCAGCAAUAUGUGAACCGUGAACUUCCUAAUGUUCAAGCUGGUUUUAGAAAAGGCAGAGGAACCAGAGAUCAAAUUGCCAACAUCCGCUGGAUCAUGGAAAAAGCAAGAGAGUUCCAGAAAAACAUCUAUUUCUGCUUUAUUGACUAUGCCAAAGCCUUUGACUGAGUGGAUCACAAUAAAC